CACGUAGGCACCAAGCGUUGUCCGGAUUUAUUGGGCGUAAAGAGCUCGUAGGCGGUUCGGUAAGUCGGGUGUGAAAACUUUGGGCUCAACCCAAAGCCUGCACUCGAUACUGCUGUGACUUGAGUCCGGUAGGGGAGUGGGGAAUUCCUGGUGUAGCGGUGGAAUGCGCAGAUAUCAGGAGGAACACCGGUGGCGAAGGCGGAUCUCUGGGCCGUAACUGACGCUGAGGAGCGAAAGCAUGGGGAGCGAACAGG
rnacentral:rRNA from 1 species